ACUCCUACGGGAGGCAGCAGUGGGGAAUAUUGCACAAUGGGCGCAAGCCUGAUGCAGCCAUGCCGCGUGUAUGAAGAAGGCCUUCGGGUUGUAAAGUACUUUUCAGCAGUGAGGAAGGUGGGUAUGUUAAUAGCAUAUUCAUUUGACGUUAGCUGCAGAAGAAGCACCGGCUAACUCCGUGCCAGCAGCCGCGGUAAUACGGAGGGUGCGAGCGUUAAUCGGAAUUACUGGGCGUAAAGCGCAUGCAGGUGGUUUGUUAAGUCAGAUGUGAAAGCCCGGGGCUCAACCUCGGAAUUGCAUUUGAAACUGGCAAACUGAGUACUGUAGAGGGGGGUAGAAUUUCAGGUGUAGCGGUGAAAUGCGUAGAGAUCUGAAGGAAUACCGGUGGCGAAGGCGGCCCCCUGGACAGAUACUGACACUCAGAUGCGAAAGCGUGGGGAGCAAACAGGAUUAGAUACCCUGAUAGGCACUGC
rnacentral:rRNA from 1 species